rnacentral:rRNA from 1 species
AAGUUCAGAUGUGAAAGACCCGGGGCCGUCAACCUACGGAAUAGCAUUUGUAAACUAGGCAGACUAGAGUACUGUAGAGGGGGGUAGGAAUUUCAGGUGUAGCGGUGAAAUAGCGUAGAGAUCUGAAGGAAUACCGGUGGCGAAGGCGGCCCCCCUCGGACAGAUACUGACACUCAGAUGCGAAAGCGUGGGGAGCAAACAGGAUUAGAUACCCCUGGUAG